rnacentral:pre_miRNA from 1 species
CCAGGUUGAGGUAGUAGGUUGUAUAGUUUAGAAUUACAUCAAGGGAGAUGACUGUACAGCCUCCUAGCUUUCCUUG